CUACGGGAGGCAGCAGUAGGGAAUAUUGCUUAAUGGGCGCAAGCCUGAAGCAGCAACGCCGCGUGUGCGAUGAAGGCCUUCGGGUUGUAAAGCACUUUUUGCUGGGAAGAGGAAGGACGGUACCAGCAGAAUAAGCCUCGGCUAACUACGUGCCAGCAGCCGCGGUAAAACGUAGGAGGCGAGCGUUAUCCGGAUUUACUGGGUGUAAAGCGCGUGCAGGCGGUUUACUAAGUUGGAUGUGAAAGCUCCUGGCUCAACUGGGAGAGGUCGUUCAAAACUGGUAGACUCGAGAGCAGUAGGGGAAGGUGGAAUUCCGGGUGUAGUGGUGAAAUGCGUAGAUAUCCGGAGGAACACCAGUGGCGAAGGCGGCCUUCUGGACUGCAUCUGACGCUCAGACGCGAAAGCUAGGGUAGCAAACGGGAUUAGAUACCCCGGUAGC
rnacentral:rRNA from 1 species